AUUGAACGCUGGCGGCAUGCCUUACACAUGCAAGUCGAACGGCAGCGGGGGAGAAGCUUGCUUUUCCUGCCGGCGAGUGGCGAACGGGUGAGUAAUACAUCGGAACGUGCCCUGUAGUGGGGGAUAACUAGUCGAAAGAUUAGCUAAUACCGCAUACGACCUGAGGGUGAAAGUGGGGGACCGCAAGGCCUCAUGCUAUAGGAGCGGCCGAUGUCUGAUUAGCUAGGUGGUGGGGUAAAGGACUACCAAGGCGACGAUCAGUAGCUGGUCUGAGAGGACGAACAGCCACACUGGGACUGAGAAACGGCCCAGACUCCUACGGGAGGCAGCAGUGGGGAAUUUUGGACCAUGGGCGAAAGCCUGAUCCAGCAAUGCCGCGUGUGUGAAGAAGGCCUUCGGGUUGUAAAGCACUGUUGUCCGGAAAGAAAUGGCUCUGGUUAAUACCUGGGGUCGAUGACGGUACCGGAAGAAUAAGGACCGGCUAACUACGUGCCAGCCGCCGCCGUAA
rnacentral:rRNA from 1 species